GUACUUGGCCUACGGCAGUACAUAUACUAAAAUUGGAACGAUACAGAGAAGAUUAGCAUGGCCCCUGCGCAAGGAUGACACGCAAAAUCGUGAAGCGUUCCACAUUUUC
rnacentral:snRNA from 1 species